rnacentral:misc_RNA from 1 species
UUGACCCUCGGUCGCUAAGCUCAUAAUUUCAGAACAUAAAUUUUUCGCCGUGAGCGGGGCAGGCGAUGACCGGAACCGGGAAGACAGUCACACGAGUUGAUCUGUGCGAAGCCGUCUACCAAAAGGUAGGACUGUCGCGCNGUUCGUUGAGCUGGUGUUGAAAGAGAUCACCGACUGCCUCGAGAAGGGCGAGACGGUGAAA